UUGAACGCUGGCGGCAGGCCUAACACAUGCAAGUCGAGCGGUAGCACAGAGAGCUUGCUCUCGGGUGACGAGCGGCGGACGGGUGAGUAAUGUCUGGGAAACUGCCUGAUGGAGGGGGAUAACUACUGGAAACGGUAGCUAAUACCGCAUAAUGUCGCAAGACCAAAGUGGGGGACCUUCGGGCCUCAUGCCAUCAGAUGUGCCCAGAUGGGAUUAGCUAGUAGGUGGGGUAACGGCUCACCUAGGCGACGAUCCCUAGCUGGUCUGAGAGGAUGACCAGCCACACUGGAACUGAGACACGGUCCAGACUCCUACGGGAGGCAGCAGUGGGGAAUAUUGCACAAUGGGCGCAAGCCUGAUGCAGCCAUGCCGCGUGUGUGAAGAAGGCCUUCGGGUUGUAAAGCACUUUCAGCGGGGAGGAAGGCGUUAAGGUUAAUAACCUUGGCGAUUGACGUUACCCGCAGAAGAAGCACCGGCUAACUCCGUGCCAGCAGCCGCGGUAAUACGGAGGGUGCAAGCGUUAAUCGGAAUUACUGGGCGUAAAGCGCACGCAGGCGGUCUGUCAAGUCGGAUGUGAAAUCCCCGGGCUCAACCUGGGAACUGCAUUCGAAACUGGCAGGCUAGAGUCUUGUAGAGGGGGGUAGAAUUCCAGGUGUAGCGGUGAAAUGCGUAGAGAUCUGAAGGAAUACCGGUGGCGAAGGCGGCCCCCUGGACAAAGACUGGCGCUCAGGUGCGAAAGCGUGGGGAGCAAACAGGAUUAGAUACCCUGGUAGUCCACGCCGUAAACGAUGUCGAUUUGGAGGUUGUGCCCUUGAGGCGUGGCUUCCGGAGCUAACGCGUUAAAUCGACCGCCUGGGGAGUACGGCCGCAAGGUUAAAACUCAAAUGAAUUGACGGGGGCCCGCACAAGCGGUGGAGCAUGUGGUUUAAUUCGAUGCAACGCGAAGAACCUUACCUGGUCUUGACAUCCACAGAACUUUCCAGAGAUGGAUUGGUGCCUUCGGGAACUGUGAGACAGGUGCUGCAUGGCUGUCGUCAGCUCGUGUUGUGAAAUGUUGGGUUAAGUCCCGCAACGAGCGCAACCCUUAUCCUUUGUUGCCAGCGGUUAGGCCGGGAACUCAAAGGAGACUGCCAGUGAUAAACUGGAGGAAGGUGGGGAUGACGUCAAGUCAUCAUGGCCCUUACGACCAGGGCUACACACGUGCUACAAUGGCAUAUACAAAGAGAAGCGACCUCGCGAGAGCAAGCGGACCUCAUAAAGUAUGUCGUAGUCCGGAUUGGAGUCUGCAACUCGACUCCAUGAAGUCGGAAUCGCUAGUAAUCGUAGAUCAGAAUGCUACGGUGAAUACGUUCCCGGGCCUUGUACACACCGCCCGUCACACCAUGGGAGUGGGUUGCAAAAGAAGUAGGUAGCUUAACCUUCGGGAGGGCGCUUACCACUUUGUGAUUCAUGACUGGGGUG
rnacentral:rRNA from 1 species